rnacentral:misc_RNA from 1 species
AAGUCGUAACAAGGUUUCCGUAGGUGAACCUGCGGAAGGAUCAUUAAAGAGAAAGGGAGCCUCGUGCUCCCGGGGGCUCCGGCCCCGAACUCUUCACCCUUUGUCUAUCUACCUCUGUUGCUUCGGCGAGCCUUUGGGGGGCCAGUCUCCCCAAAGCCGGCACCCGGGCCCCGCGCCCGCCGCUGGACCGCGCUCGCCGGAAGACCUCGAAACUCCGAUUUUUCAUUGCGGUCUGAGCGAAACACAAAUAAAUCAAAACUUUCAACAACGGAUCUCUUGGUUCUG